CAACUACUCCCUCUGUCCCAAAUUUCUUGUCUUAGAUUUGUCUAGAUACGGAUGUAUCUAAUACUAAAAUGUGACUUGAAACAUCUGUAUCUAGACAAAUCUAAGACAAGAAUUUUGGGACGGAGGGAGUACUUU
rnacentral:pre_miRNA from 1 species